AUUGAACGCUGGCGGCAUGCUUUACACAUGCAAGUCGAACGGUAACAGGGUUAGCUGACGAGUGGCGAACGGGUGAGUAAUAUAUCAGAACGUGCCCAGUCGUGGGGGAUAACUGCUCGCAAGAGCAGCUAAUACCGCAUACGACCUGAGGGUGAAAGCGGAGGAUCGCAAGACCUCGGGCGACUGGAGAGGCCGAUAGCAGAUUAGGUAGUUGGUGGGGUAAAGGCCUACCAAGCCUACGAUCUGUAGCUGGUCUGAGAGGACGACCAGCCACACUGGGACUGAGACACGGCCCAGACUCCUACGGGAGGCAGCAGUGGGGAAUUUUGGACAAUGGACGCAAGUCUGAUCCAGCCAUGCCGCGUGCGGGAAGAAGGCCUUCGGGUUGUAAACCGCUUUUGUCAGGGAAGAAAAGGUUCUGGUUAAUACCUGGGACUCAUGACGGUACCUGAAGAAUAAGCACCGGCUAACUACGUGCCAGCAGCCGCAGUAACAC
rnacentral:rRNA from 1 species